rnacentral:rRNA from 1 species
AGUGAACGCUGGCGGUAGGCCUAACACAUGCAAGUCGAACGGCAGCACAGUAAGAGCUUGCUCUUACGGGUGGCGAGUGGCGGACGGGUGAGGAAUACAUCGGAAUCUACUUUUUCGUGGGGGAUAACGUAGGGAAACUUACGCUAAUACCGCAUACGACCUACGGGUGAAAUCAGGGGAUCUUCGGACCUUGCGCGAUUGAAUGAGCCGAUGUCGGAUUAGCUAGUUGGCGGGGUAAAGGCCCACCAAGGCGACGAUCCGUAGCUGGUCUGAGAGGAUGAUCGGCCACACUGGAACUGAGACACGGUCCAGACUCCUACGGGAGGCAGCAGUGGGGAAUAUUGGACAAUGGGCGAAAGCCUGAUCCAGCCAUGCCGCGUGAGUGAUGAAGGCCUUCGGGUUGUAAAACCCUUUUGUUGGGAAAGAAAAGCAGCGGAUUAAUACCCCGCUGUUCUGACGGUACCCAAAGAGUAAGCACCGGCUAACUUCGUG